GACUAAAGAGGUCCUGAAGUGACCCACAUGGACUAAAGAGGUCCUGAAGUGACCCACAUGCACUAAAGAGGUCCUGAUGGAAUACCAGACCAUGCAGACACACUCUGUCUUUAAGCUCCUCCUCCU